GCCUAGCCCUAAAUCUUGAUGACCCCAAACACAAACAUCCGCCUGAGAACUACGAGCACAAACGCUUAAAACUCUAAGGACUUGGCGGUGCUCUAAACCCACCUAGAGGAGCCUGUUCUAUAAUCGAUAACCCACGAUUCACCCGACCACCUCUUGCCAAAACAGCCUAUAUACCGCCGUCGCCAGCCCACCUCGUGAGAGCACAACAGUGAGCCCAACAGCCCACAGCCCACUAACAAGACAGGUCGAGGUAUAGCCUAUGAGGUGGAAGAAAUGGGCUACAUUUUCUAAAAUAGAAAACCCAACGAAAAGGGGUUUGAAACCUGCCCCCAGAAGGCGGAUUUUGCAGUAAAGUGGGAUAACCAAGCCUCCUUUAAGCCGGUCCUAGAGC
rnacentral:rRNA from 1 species